rnacentral:rRNA from 1 species
UACGUAGGGCGCGAGCGUUGUCCGGAAUCAUUGGGCGUAAAGAGCUCGUAGGCGGCCUGUCGCGUCUGCUGUGAAAUCCCGGGGCUUAACCCCGGGCGUGCAGUGGAUACGGGCUGGCUGGAGGCAGGCAGGGGAGAACGGAAUUCCCGGUGUAGCGGUGAAAUGCGCAGAUAUCGGGAGGAACACCGGUGGCGAAGGCGGUCUGCUGGGCAGUUGCUGACACUGAGGCGCGACAGCGUGGGGAGCAAACAGG